UGCGAACUCCUACGGGAGGCAGCAGUGGGGAAUAUUGGACAAUGGGCCAAAAGUCUGAUCCAGCAAUUCUGUGUGCACGAUGACGUUUUUCGGAAUGUAAAGUGCUUUCAGUUGGGAAGAAAAAAGUGACGGUACCAACAGAAGAAGUGACGGCUAAAUACGUGCCAGCAGCCGCGGUAAUACGUAUGUCACAAGCGUUAUCCGGAUUUAUUGGGCGUAAAGCGCGUCUAGGGGGGUAUGUAAGUCUGAUGUGAAAAUGCAGGGCUCAACUAUGUAUUGCGUUGGAAACUACCUGACUAGAGUACUGGAGAGGUAAGCGGAACUACAAGUGUAGAGGUGAAAUUCGUAGAUAUUUGUAGGAAUGCCGAUGGGGAAGCCAGCUUACUGGACAGAUACUGACGCUAAAGCGCGAAAGCGUGGGUAGCAAACAGGAUUAGAUACCCUUGUAGUCCUAUC
rnacentral:rRNA from 1 species